rnacentral:rRNA from 1 species
UACGGAGGAUCCAAGCGUUAUCCAGAAUUACUGGGCGUAAAGAGUUGCGUAGGCGGCACUGUAAGUAGGGCGUGAAAGCGUAUGGCUCAACCAUAUAAACAUGUCCUAAACUGCAGAGCUAGAAUAUAGAAGAGGUAGCUGGAAUUCCUUGUGUAGGAGUGAAAUCCGUAGAUAUAAGGAGGAACACCGAUGGCGUAGGCAGGCUACUGGUCUAUUAUUGACGCUAAGGCACGAAAGCGUGGGGAGCAAACGGG